ACUAUUGUUUGUUUUGAUAACAUUGGGUAAGUAUUUCCAUUUACCCUACAUCACUAAGCUGUUGUUUCGUCGUAUCAGAAUCUGAUAGUAAAAGCAACAAGUGUGGUUCGGUAAUCUCAUGCUAUCUUGUUCAUAUUUAGCAGCUAGCCAGAAGAGAGCAACGUAUAACUUAAAACUGUUUGUAGUUAGAUGUUAGAUUUUGCUGCGAAGACUUUGCCAAGUAUUUUCCUGUGUAGCUGAAAUCACAGAUAAUACUUAUAUGGACUGAAAUGACCAGAGUACAUUGUUAAUUUGGAUGUUCGUGUUCGUUAGCAUCGUUGGUAAGAGUUCGUUGGUAAGAGUUAACGUGCUAGCUAGCAUGGCAAUGGCACACUACAUUGGUCGAUGUGAAGCUACGUUUUGGUGGCAGGUAUAAUUGUGGGUAAGUAGUGUUUGUUAUUCAUCUUUCUGUAAUCUCUCUAGCCCUGUAGGACAAGCUGGCGGACCCCUCCCACCCUCUCAAGCAAGCAGUGAAAGCCCUGCAGGACAAGCUGGCGUACUCCUCCCAUCGUCUCCAUCGGCCCAGUUCAGCACCACCUUCCAGACAGCAAGCAGUGAAAGUCUUACAGGACAAGCUGUCGGACCAUUCUCACACUCUCCAUCAAGCACAUCAAGUGACAGGCCAAUCUUCCCCCCAGAAGUGUUACAACAAAUUAUUGGAGAA